rnacentral:lncRNA from 1 species
UUGCAGACUGUCCCACACAGCAGUACAUCACAAUCCCAGUACCUGUGUCAAUGGCACAGCAACAGGCUAGCACAACAUCGUCAAGCUCAUCAUCCAAGAGAGAACGAACAGGCAAAUAGGCCAGAAAAUUCUAAGCUUAAGCAGAAACUGCGAAAGAGGUGUGCCGUCGUGAUUACGGCAAAGGCUUCUGUCUAUACGACGUACAGGAUCAGAGAGCCAGCCUUGCACUAGCAGUGCCAUCAUGACAGUACCUGAGAAGAGCAAAAAGCCAAAACAGCCGGCCAAACCUUUUGCAUUCGGUCAGACUAUGAUGACUAUGGAGCCUAUUUUGAACGCCCAGUCUGUUGCUUGGACAGCAGUGGCAAUAAAGCUUUUAUGACACUUGUC